rnacentral:rRNA from 1 species
ACAUCCAAUUGACCAUCUUUUAAUCGAGAUUUUGCCUUCGGGUACGAAUUGAGACAGGUGGUGCAUGGUUGUCGUCAGCUCGUGUCGUGAGAUGUUGGGUUAAGUCCCGCAACGAGCGCAACCUUGUGUUUAGUUGCAAACAGGUCAAGCUGUGCACUCUAGACAGACUGCCGUGGACAACACGGAGGAAAGUGGGGAUGACGUCAAAUCAUCAUGCCCCUUAUGAUCUGGGCUACACACGUGCUACAAUGGCCGGUACAACGGGCAGCGAAGGAGCGAUCCGGAGCGAAUCCUAAAAAGCCGGUCCCAGUUCGGAUUGCAGGCUGAAACUCGCCUACAUGAAGUUGGAGUUGCUAGUAAUCGCGAAUCAGAAUGUCGCGGUGAAUGCGUUCCCGGGUCUU